CGGUUCUCUAUGACCUUCCUUCUUAUCUUGAUCGACCUUCCAUCUUUUCGAUAUAGCUCUUUUCUUUGUUUUAACGUAGCUCUCUCUUUCUCUUUUCGCUUUUAUCUUGUCUGAUUAGGCUAGGUCUUUUUUCUUUUUAUUUUAGGUGUGAGGAAGGUUUAUAGCUUAUAGAUCACUAAAGGAAGGGGUAAGACAGCCUUUGAAAACUAGUUCCAAUAACCCUGUUUUCGUCUUCCUUCGAGUAUCAUUACUGAUUAGCCUGACUGCUUGACCUCCUCUCUCUUAGCUAAAGAUGGGGUGAUCGAGAUAGUAGUUCCCUCUUUCCCGGAUGGGACUCUACUAGAGAAUAGAUAGCCCAAUUCCACUACAUCCGCUCUAGCAUGAAGGAAAAGGAUGUUCGAAGUUCCUAAAUGACUGGGCUACUUAGGCAGACACCCCUCACUACCUUUCGACUCGGGC